CCGAAAAAAGCCACUUGGAAGAAAGAAUGACUAAAGCUGAUGACAACAGAUUGGAAAGAAAAUUAAAAAGCAUCGAAAAACCACAAGACUUUCAAGAUUAGAUAAAAACUGCUCUGGGCAGAUGAGCUGGAGAGGUGGCUCCAAAGAAAAAAAGUGGUGAUGCUGGCCAUUUGAACACGCCUAAAAGAAGCUGGGAAGUGCUUCUGUUAAGUGAAAAGGUAGAAUUUUGCUCUGUUGCCCAGGCUGGAGUGUAAUGGUG